UCCUGUGCGCAUACCGCCAGACACAUUGGUUUUAGCUCAUUGUUUAAGUGUCGUUCGGUUCGACAUAAUCGUGCUGUUCAGAAAUCAAAAGUUCACUGAAGUAACGAUGGUGAAGAUUUUCAUCGGCAACCUCUCUCCCAACACCGAGAAAGAUGAAAUCGAAGUUCUGUUCGCCAAGUACGGCAGAGUCACGGAAUGCGCCAAAUACAAAAACUACGCGUUCGUCCACAUGGACGACCGGAAGUGCGCCACCAAGGCCAUCCGUGAGCUCCAUCUGCACAAGCUGGAUGGCAGACCGAUCAACGUGGAGCCCAGCAAAGGCAGGAACCAGGGUCCCGUGAAGCUCCACAUAUCUAAUGUAGAAAGAGGCCAUGAUAAGGAGCUCCGGGAUCGGUUUGAGGAGUACGGUGAAGUCAUAGAGUGUGUCAUCAUUAAGAAUUUUGCCUUUGUACACAUGACCAAUUAUGAUGAGGCCAUGGAUGCUCUGCAGGGUAUGGACAACACCGACUUUAUGGGAAAGCACAUUCACGUUCAGGUAUCAAAAAGCAGGCCGAGAGGGGGUCCUGAGGAGGAAAUGGAGGAUUAUCCACUUCCUCCAGGCGCUGGGGGCUAUUAUCCUCCUCCCUACCCAGGGCCAAGACCUGAGCCCCCCUACAGAGGUCGCAUGUCUGCUUAUCCUCUUCCUCCUCCCCCUCUUCCACCACCCCCUCCCCUGAGACGACCCCCUUAUCUCGACCGAGGCUACGGUGACAGAGAUCCCUACAGUAUGGUGGAUUACUACGAGAAAUACCGAGCCCGUCCUUACAGUGCCGCAAGCUACGAUGACAGGCGUUCCCUCCCCCCUCCCCCGCCUCCUACUUCAACUCUGGCUAGAGCAAGACUUGGAGCGGGGUCCCUUGACCCGUACGAGAGGCGGCCCAUCCCACCACCUCCUCCGUCUUAUGCGAUCAGGGACCGGAGCCCCAUCAGGAGAGUCCUGAUCAGCCCUACUCCUUCGGCUGGUAACGGGUACUACGAGCGCUCUCGGCUGUCACCGGUGUCCAGGGCUCCAGCGUACCCCAUUCCUCGUCCCAGGGAUCCCUAUUCUGAGAGAGCACCACCCCCUCCGCCACCACCUCGCUAUGCUGGAUAUUAGACAACAAGGUUGUUGAACUAUACACAGGAGGUGCUGGCUGUUGGUAAGUUAUCAACAGAAGACGCCCAUGUGAAGGAUUCAGGUAGAUAAUGGGUAAACUCUGCUUCUUAACAACACUUAUCACAAUUACUAAAAUGGAAUAACUUUAAUUUGUAUUGCUCAUUCAGAAAUUGGUCUUUCUAUCAGGAAACUGCAUAAACCUUUGUAAAUGGUUUGACUCUGUUUUUGCUAACAGGUUGAACUUUCCCCUGAAGUGGAAUCAAAGAUUUGUGAGCUGAUGGAAAACAAAUUCUCGCUGUCCUACAUUUUAAGGAUUCAAAAGCACAUGAGAUGACUCGGUCAAUACUGAGAGAGCAGCUGAAGUAGGGGCRGAGAUGCAGAUCAAGCUUGAUGGACAGUUAGUAACAUCGACCAUAGACGACAACUCUUGAAGUUUGAAGACCAAAUUGACCACUUGGACGGUCUUUAUGAAGGUCUYCCUUAUGAUCCUGCUGAAGGCCAGCCCGGCGAUGAAGGACACCGCGAUGAUUCCCAGUGUGUUCAGCACAUCAACGUUCAUGACCGAUAUCUGCAAAGCUGAAUCCGCUGCUGAGAGAACCAUUGAGGAUGUUAGAAAAUUGCUUUUGGUACCUCACCGAUGGUCGUGUUUAUAUCAUUUGAGUCCACAUUCACCAGGGCCUUCAGAGUCUUGUACUGAAAAUAAAAGAAUAAUUUAAUUCAA